GAUGAACGCUGUCGGCGUGCCUAAUACAUGCAAGUCGAGCGAACAGACGAGGAGUUUGCUCCUUUGACGUUAGCGGCGGACGGGCGAGUAACACAUGGAUAACCUACCUAUCAUACUGGGAUAACUUCGGCAAACCGGAGCUAACACCGGAUAAUAUAUUGCACCGCAUGGUUCAAUAGUGAAAGACGGUUUUGCUGGCUCUUAUAGAUGGAUCCGCGCCGCUUUCGCUACUUGGUAAGGUGACGGCUUAGCAAGGCAACGCUGCGUAGCCGACCUGAGAGGGGGGUAGGCCACCCUGGAACGGAGACGCGGUCCAGACUACUACGGGAGGGAGCAGUAGGGAAUGGUCGGCAAUGGGCGGAAGCCUGGCGGAGCAACGCCGAGUGGGUUGUGAAAGUCUUCGGAUCGUGAAACUCUGUUAUUAGGGAGGAACGAAUGUGUGAGUAACGAGGCACGUCUUGAAGGUACCUAAUCAAAAAGCCACGGCUAACUACGUG
rnacentral:rRNA from 1 species